rnacentral:rRNA from 1 species
AUGGCUCAGUGAGGCCUUGGGACUGGCUCAGAGAGGUCGGCAACGACCACUCAGAGCCGGAAACUUGGUCAAACUUGGUCAUUUAGAGGAAGUAAAAGUCGUAACAAGGUUUCCGUAGGUGAACCUGCGGAAGGAUCAUUAACGAGUUAGGGUCUUCUAGGCCCGACCUCCCAACCCUAUGUUUAUUGAACCUCUGUUGCUUCGGCGGGCCCGUCUCACGACCGCCGGAGGAGUCGCCGCGAGGCGGCCCUCUGGCCAGCGCCCGCCGACGGCCAAAUUCAAACUCUGAAUAAAUCGUGUCAUGAUGUCUAAGUCUAUGAUUAAAUUAACGCAAAACUUUCAACAACGGAUCUCUUGGUUCUGGCAUCGAUGAAGAACGCAGCGAAAUGCGAUAAGUAAUGCGAAUUGCAGAAUUCCAGUGAGUCAUCGAAUCUUUGAACGCACAUUGCGCCCUUUGGUAUUCCGAAGGGCAUGCCUGUUCGAGCGUCAUUAUCACCCCUCAAGCCCCGUGCUUGGUGUUGGACGGCCGGUCGAGCGAUUCGACCCCUCCGAAAGACAAUGACGGCGGCCUGUGGUUCCCCCGGUACACUGAGCUUUUCACGGAGCACGUAUCGGACGAGGGCGCCCAGGACCCCGGUCCUUUCUCCUCUCAGCAGGAAACUUCUCAAGGUUGACCUCGGAUCAGGUAGGAAUACGCGCUGAACUUAAGCAUAUCAAUAAGCGCAGGAAAAGAAACCAACAGGGAUUACCUCAGUAACGGCGAGUGAAGCGGUAACAGCUCAAAUUUGAAAUCUGGCCUCUCGGGGUCCGAGUUGUAAUUUGUAGAGGAUGUUUUGGGUACCGCCCCGGUCUAAAUUUCUUGGAACAGGAUGUCAAAGAGGGUGAGAAUCCCGUCUUGGACCGGCGGUAGGGCCUGUGUAAAACUCCUUCGACGAGUCGAGUUGUUUGGGAAUGCAGCUCAAAAUGGGUGGUAAAUUUCAUCUAAAGCUAAAUAUUGGCCAGAGACCGAUAGCGCACAAGUAGAGUGAUCGAAAGAUGAAAAGCACUUUGAAAAGAGAGUUAAACAGUAUGUGAAAUUGUUGAAAGGGAAGCGCUUGCAACCAGACUUGAGCGCGGCGGUUCCCCCGGUCUUUUGGCCGGGCUACUCCGUCGUGUCCAGGCCAACAUCGGUUCUGAGGGUCGGUCAAAGGCUCUGGGAAUGUAUCUACCCACGGGUAGACUUAUAGACCAGGGUGUCAUGCGGCCUCUCGGGACCGAGGAACGCGCUUCGGCUCGGAUGUUGGCGUAAUGGUUGUCAGCGACCCGUCUUGAAACACGGACCAAGGAGUCUAACAUCUAUGCGAGUGUUUGGGUGUCAAACCCGGAACGCGAAAUGAAAGUGAACGGAGGUAGGAAGCCUUUGGCUGCACUAUCGACCGAUCCUGAAGUUUACGGAAGGAUUUGAGUAAGAGCAUAGCUGUUGGGACCCGAAAGAUGGUGAACUAUGCCUGAAUAGGGUGAAGCCAGAGGAAACUCUGGUGGAGGCUCGCAGCGGUUCUGACGUGCAAAUCGAUCGUCAAAUUUGGGUAUAGGGGCGAAAGACUAAUCGAACCAU